rnacentral:rRNA from 1 species
AUUGAACGCUGGCGGCAUGCCUUACACAUGCAAGUCGAACGGCAGCACGGGUGCUUGCACCUGGUGGCGAGUGGCGAACGGGUGAGUAAUACAUCGGAACGUACCUUAUCGUGGGGGAUAACGCAGCGAAAGCUGUGCUAAUACCGCAUACGCCCUGAGGGGGAAAGCGGGGGAUCGCAAGACCUCGCGCGAUUAGAGCGGCCGAUGCCUGGUUAGCUUGUUGGUGGGGUAAAAGCCCACCAAGGCGACGAUCAGUAGCUGGUCUGAGAGGACGAUCAGCCGCACUGGGACUGAGACACGGCCCAGACUCCUACGGGAGGCGGCAGUGGGGAAUUUUGGACAAUGGGGGCAACACUGAUCCAGCAAUACCGCGUGAGUGAAGAAGGCCUUCGUGUUGUAAAGCUCUUUUGUCAGGGAAGAAACACCGGCUCUAACACAGUCCGGGAAUGACGGUACCUGAAGAAUAAGCACCGGCUAACUACGUGCCAGCCGCCGCGGUAA